rnacentral:lncRNA from 1 species
GAGAGUAGUACUGUGUCUUGUUCCCCAUAAUACAUGUAAGAAGUUCAUAUAUGACAUCAACCACUUCACUACUUUUCAACUUCCUUCUAGAAUAGAUUAUUUGUUAUCACAAAAGUUCUUCCCAGAAUUGAAGAUACCCUGUUUUGGUCGUAUAUAAAACUGUAUAGCUUAAAAAAUUCACAAGUAGCCAACCAGUUAUUUUAUUUUCAUUUUUUUAAUCUAUGCAUAUAGUAAUUUUAUACACAUUAGGACCCAAAUAUAAUUUUGUUUCUGAAUUCUUCUAGUUAAUGAGAUGUGGACUUAGUCACUUAUCUCAGUACUUAGCAAAGAGCAAUUCUUUAUUAAUUGUAAUCAAAGUGCUCCUAAAGUAUUUGCAUAUUCCUCCUUAAAAACACUUGUUAGAAUCGGUAGCUCACUGUCUUUUUAACUUCUGGGUAGUGCCGUGUGCAUCAUCUGAGCAAACUCCCAUGAGUACUUUGUGUAGAAGACUACAAACUCACCCUCAAUACUGUACUUGAUAUUUCCGCUAUAUCUGUGGAGAUGAUACUGACCCUGAUAUCAGUUUCCCUACAUUAAACCCAGCAUAUAUGGGGUUAAAACCAAAGCACUCAUUCCCUGCUUACUCCCUGGCUUCCUGGCUCCAGAAUCCACUAUCCUCCACGGAAACAGACACAGCCAAGGACAAGCAUCUGGAUUCAUUAUCUCUUCCCUGCAAAGAGAUAUAGGCUGGUGGGAAAGCUGCUGACCAGCAAGGUCAGGGGCUCCUUCCUCUAUGCAAGUGUCUCAAGGCCAAAGACAGGCUGGUGGGAAAGCUCUGACCAGCAAGGCCAUAUGCUUUCCCUCCCCUACCUAAAAUCCCAAAUAAAAACCCUUCCUUUUAGCUUUUGGGGAUUUGGGGAUUUCAGCAUUAGCUGCCCUCUCUCCUUACUCAGUGCUGUGCAAUGAUAAACUUCCUACUUUCUUCCACUAUACCCGUGUCAGAAAUUGGCUUUCUGUGCAAUGAGUGAGCAAACUCACUUCAGGUUCACUAUCAAUUUGGUGACCCAGAUGUGACCCUGUCUCAAGAGGACAUCUCACCUGUGGCAAACCUGGCCUCUGGCUAAAGGAAGAUGUCCUGCAGCUGCCUGAGCCACUUGUCUCAGGGACAGUCCCAAGCGACGUGCUGCUAACAAGACAUCAUUGGACCUUGGUGCUUUUGUUUUGGUGGUGGAGGAAACCAGGUUCAGGGUUUAGGAAAACAUCUCUUGUAAGUAGCUGGUAGUUUUUGUUUUUGCCCUUGUCUUAACCUUUUCCAACAGGACUGGCCAGAAAUAAUGGGUAACUGGCAGCCAACCAGGCUCCAGGUGUUUUGAAGUUGCCACGCCCCAGCAAAAUUUUGGUAAGUCCACUGGGAAUGCACAAGCAAGGUCCCUUGUCCUUGCUCAUUUGGGAAGAUCUGCAUAGCAGAACUUCAUUUGUUGGGUGCCCCCCAAGUAUAGGACAUGGACUAAGCUUGGACUGGAAGUACUUUGGUUUUGGUUUUGGUUUUGGCCUUCAUUCUGGCUUCCAGUUGUGGCCGAGGGUUUUUGGGAAAGUGCACUUCUUUGGUAUUUGUUGUUGUUUGUCUAUUCAUCUUUCCUUUUAAAAGUGUUAACAUGGAAGGUGCCGCAUCUACUCCACCUAAGAACCCCUUGGGAGAAACUUUGGCUGACUGGUCGACCUAUAGCUAUAAGGCAAUGUCUAAAGAGGGAUCAUUUUCUUUUGUAACACCACAUGGCCACAAUAUUCUUUAGACUCCAGAAAAAAAAAAGGUCAAGCAAUGGAUCCUUAAGUUGGGAAAAAUAUUACAGAGUUCUCAAGAUAAACAGCUCUUGUAUUGGUACCUAUGAAAAUACCAAAUUAAAAUGAAACUAUAACUAGUCUUAAGAACUUAAUCAAACUGGGGGCACCAGUUUCUCAUAGUCUUACAGAUGCUAAUGAAAAUAUUAAGUUUACAAAGAGAAAUCAGAAAGGGAAGAGUCACAGGACUCAUCCCAAUGGGAUAAAAGUCUUUAACUAGUUAUUAAAAGAAAAAAUGGGAUAAAUAGAACAGAUAUAAAUAAGGUUAAAAUGAAGCUUUUCAUAAAAUACUGCCUAAGGUUGGAUGGGAUAAAGGGACCCCGCUAUUGGCUAUCCAACAUUAAAGGACAUCAGACAAAUAUGUUCUAUUUAGCCCAGUCUGAAAAAUUUAAAAGGUCAGGAGGCAGAAAUCAGAGUAAGAAACCUGACCAACAAUUGUUUGGGGCAACCGUUAGGCUACUGAGAUUAAUAAGACUAUAAAGAUCAAAGUGUUUAAGCUAACAUUAUAUGAAGAGGUUAUGUCAGCUUUGCCUGGAUAUUUGCUUUGGGAAUAAAAGUUAUGUGUAACUGGGAAGGCUUCCCCUACCCAAUAUUGUAAUACCAAAACUUGUUAAUGGAAUUCUAAUGUAAGUUUUAAUUAAAAGUAUACGAGUUAGUAAAACUAAGAUAAAGUUUUGUAAAAAUUGAUGUACUUAAAGGGGCCAAUUUCAGUUCACCCAAACUGAUAUAUGCAAUUGGGAAAGCCAGAUACAAAAACGGGAAGCCUGUUUGAGGCUUCUAAAUAAAAUCAGAAAUACUUACUGCCUCUUUAAGAGAAAAUAAUUAAAUAAUUAAACAUACAAACAGCCAAACCCAAAUCUGCUGCUUUUGUCUACACUCUUGCUGAGCUUUCCAGCAAGCUGAGCUUCACUUUAACUCCCCCACAAUUCCUGAUCUAAAAUUGAACAAAUAAAAAUAAGUAAACUUUUGAGAUAAUUUGGAAUUGUAAUGGCCAUUCUGGAAACCUUUUUCAGAAGAGGAUUCAAAAUCUCUCAUAAUGGAAUGCAGUCUUUAAUGAAUAUGCAAAAGCUUCUAAGAGACAAAGUUAUUUAACAUAAUAUAAAAUGAUCUUUGAUGAAUGAAAGCCUGUUUAAGUUUGCUGGUUUGAUUUAAAAUAGAGCAGCCCUCAAAGUUAUUAGCAUUGGCUAUGAUGCAGACUUCCAGCCUAGGCUUAUUGGUCAAAUGAGCUCAUGUCAUCUCUGCUACAAAAUUUAUCAGCAAAACUAAUAAUGCAGUAUAAUAGCUAAUUUUGUUUAAUGUCUCAUGAGGUUUUUCUAGAUGAUCUAAAUAUAAUUGUUAAUAACAGGUAAACUAAAUAAAUGUAAAAAGAUAAAAGUUGUGGGAAAAACUUUUAAACAAUAAUUGUAUGUAUUAUGAUGUAUGUACUCGAAAGAACUGAAGAUGAUAGCUAACUGCUGUAAUGUCACGUGAAAUUUUUAAGAGUAAUUGUUAAAACUGGGUAAGAAUUUUAGGUACAAUUGUUAUGUUUUAUAGUCUGCAUACUUAAAAACAGCUUCAAAAAUCUUUUUGGGAAAAAACUUUAUAACUUUACUAAGUUAAGUUAAAUAAUAACAGUUUAUUGGGUAUCUAGGUCAUUUCCAAAUAAGAUACAAUACUAAAGGUUAAGUACUAAGUAUGUAUUUGUCUGCCUUUGGUGUAUUAUAUCAAAGAAACUGAAAAGUGCUUAGGUUUAUUGAUAAACAUGUUUUAUGUAUGCUGAGGAAUUUUCUGUAAGAAGACGUAUAUUCCUAAAAGGUCUGUAUACAAGGAAAGUAAAAUGUAUGCUUUCAGUAAAAAUAUAUAAAGAAUGGAAAUAUUUUUGUUUCUUGAGUUGAGAAAGGUAAAUUUGCACUAAACUACUGGGACAAAUUCUGAAUGCAAAAAAAGUAACCAAAGGUUUGUAAAAGUAAAGCCCUAAAGAGUUUCAUGUAUGGUCAAGUUGGCUAAGAUUAAAGUAAAUCCAAUUAUGCAAAUAAAUUUAUAUGUCAAAAGUAAGCUGGUACAAGAUUAAAAGUUUGUUUCCUCUUUCCUAAAAAGGUCCUUUCCUAAACUUUUAAUAUGCUUUUGAUAAAAAGAUUAUCAAAAGGCUUUUUUUUGACUAUUUUAGCUGUUUCACCUUGACUGUUUCUGUAGUCACUUCAAGUAGAUACCUGAAACAUGGCUUUGCAGUGAGCUUUGUCUCCUAUCUGAACAAAUGUUUUAAAGCUUUUAAUGUUUUUGACAAGCUCCCACACACAGACAAAUAUUCAAGUCCUGACUAAGGCUGUCUUUUGACCUAGAAGAGGAGAGAGAGUUUCUCUGGGGAUUUUCAGAGGGCCCCUGGUAAUUCUCAGAGAGAUUUGCUCUCUUUCUAUAACAAACAUGCUAAACUAAUUAGGCUCAUUUUGUAUGUUAAAUUACAUGAGAAGCAUUGUCAAAUAGGUAACAGUAAACUUUCUUAAAUGGCAUUAUGUGAAUGAGUGUUAUUGACAUAAAUAUUUUAAAAAUUACCUGAUCUGUUUUUAUUGUCAGCCAUAAUUCUUGUUAUUAUUCCAAAAUGUUGUAUAUCACAGAGGUGGUCAAAUGCCUUUGUCAAUUACCAUUUUUGAAGGUUUUGUUAUUUACAGUCAGUUGCUGUUUUACUUUGAUGUUUUUACAAAUAUGUUUCAUCUUCAGUGAAAUUCAUAG